AAAGCCUUUGACUCAUAAGCUUCCCAAGGAAGCUAUUGAAUUGACUUUACCUCACACCUAUCGUCCAAAGCAACACCAAAAGGUGAGAGUUGAAAAUCAAUUUCCUUUCUUCCCACUUACCCGUCGAUCUACACCCAAGGAAAAUGGAAAACUUCAUCUUCCUCUCCAAGCAAGCCAUAGCCAACCUUCACCUAUUUCCUUCCUCUUCUCUUUCCAUCUUCAAGAAAGCAAGUUCAUCUCAUCACCUUCAAGCCUUGUGACUCCAUAGCAAGUGAUAUUGUGUUGUUCUUCAUCCACACGGGUUUACCACUAAAAUCAAGUGGGUUUGCCUCUUGAAAUGGGCUAAGAGCUUAAGGAAUAUUGAUGAUGGAAGUAUCGAGGAGCAUAGAGGUAUGAAUGAUGAGGCUAUGGAGCUAGGCACUGCUGAGGAGGGAAGGGUUGAUGCUUAGUAUUCCCUGUCGGUUCGGUUUAAUGAUAAUGGUUAUAUGUUAUGUUUGAUGAUGGGUCCCAUGUUGGGACGUUUUGUUGGUCGACUUUAAGACAAUAUGUCUUUGACAUGAUGUAGAUUUUGUGGUAGUAUGAUGGUAAUAGUGUAACUUCUAUAGUGGGGUGAUGGUAACCCCACAUAAGAAGGUUAAACAUAUUUUGGAUUAUGUUGUAGGGACGGAGUCCCCUUUCUAUUGGAACUAGUGAUGUUUUAAAUGAAUGAAUGGUGGACUCUGAGAGUCCUUUGGUAAUA